CCUACGGGAGGCAGCAGUCGAGAAUUAUUCACAAUGGGGGAAACCCUGAUGGUGCGACGCCGCGUGGGGGAAUGAAGGUCUUCGGAUUGUAAACCCCUGUCAUGUGGGAGCAAAUUAAAAAGAUAGUACCACAAGAGGAAGAGACGGCUAACUCUGUGCCAGCAGCCGCGGUAAUACAGAGGUCUCAAGCGUUGUUCGGAAUCACUGGGCGUAAGGCGUGCGGAGGCUGUUUCGUAAGUCGUGUGUGAAAGGCGCGGGCUCAACCCGCGGACGGCACAUGAUACUGCGAGACUAGAGUAAUGGAGGGGGAACCGGAAUUCUCGGUGUAGCAGUGAAAUGCGUAGAUAUCGAGAGGAACACUCGUGGCGAAGGCGGGUUCCUGGACAUUAACUGACGCUGAGGCACGAAGGCCAGGGGAGCGAAAGGGAUUAGAUACCCUGGUAGUC
rnacentral:rRNA from 1 species